rnacentral:rRNA from 1 species
UGGCUCAGAUUGAACGCUGGCGGCAGGCUUAACACAUGCAAGUCGAGCGGAUGAAGAGAGCUUGCUCUUUUGAUUCAGCGGCGGACGGGUGAGUAAUGCCUAGGAAUCUGCCUGGUAGUGGGGGACAACGUUUCGAAAGGAACGCUAAUACCGCAUACGUCCUACGGGAGAAAGCAGGGGACCUUCGGGCCUUGCGCUAUCAGAUGAGCCUAGGUCGGAUUAGCUAGUUGGUGAGGUAAUGGCUCACCAAGGCGACGAUCCGUAACUGGUCUGAGAGGAUGAUCAGUCACACUGGAACUGAGACACGGUCCAGACUCCUACGGGAGGCAGCAGUGGGGAAUAUUGGACAAUGGGCGAAAGCCUGAUCCAGCCAUGCCGCGUGUGUGAAGAAGGUCUUCGGAUUGUAAAGCACUUUAAGUUGGGAGGAAGGGCAUUAACCUAAUACGUUGGUGUCUUGACGUUACCGACAGAAUAAGCACCGGCUAACUCUGUGCCAGCAGCCGCGGUAAUACAGAGGGUGCAAGCGUUAAUCGGAAUUACUGGGCGUAAAGCGCGCGUAGGUGGUUCGUUAAGUUGAAUGUGAAAUCCCCGGGCUCAACCUGGGAACUGCAUCCAA